CUUCCGUAGGGUAACCUGCGGAGGGAUCAUUACUGAGUUUACGCUCUAUAACCCUUUGUGAACAUACCUAUAACUGUUGCUUCGGCGGGUAGGGUCUCCGCGACCCUCCCGGCCUCCCGCCUCCGGGCGGGUCGGCGCCCGCCGGAGGAUAACCAAACUCUGAUUUAACGACGUUUCUUCUGAGUGGUACAAGCAAAUAAUCAAAACUUUUAACAACGGAUCUCUUGGUUCUGGCAUCGAUGAAGAACGCAGCGAAAUGCGAUAAGUAAUGUGAAUUGCAGAAUUCAGUGAAUCAUCGAAUCUUUGAACGCACAUUGCGCCCGCCAGCAUUCUGGCGGGCAUGCCUGUUCGAGCGUCAUUUCAACCCUCAAGCUCUGCUUGGUGUUGGGGCCCUACAGCUGAUGUAGGCCCUCAAAGGUAGUGGCGGACCCUCCCGGAGCCUCCUUUGCGUAGUAACUUUACGUCUCGCACUGGGAUCCGGAGGGACUCUUGCCGUAAAACCCCCCAAUUUUCCAAAGGUUGACCUCGGAUCAGGGUAGGAAUCCCCACUUCCA
rnacentral:rRNA from 1 species